AGAGUUUGAUCCUGGCUCAGAAUCAACGCUGGCGGCGUGCUAACACAUGCAAGUCGAACGAGAAAGGGUAGCAAUACCUGAGUAAAGUGGCGCACGGGUGAGUAACACGUGACUAACCUACCCUGGAGUGGGGGAUAACUGAGGGAAACCUUAGCUAAUACCGCAUAAUACCCACGGGUCAAAGGAGCAAUUCGCUUCAGGAGGGGGUCGCGGCCGAUUAGUUAGUUGGCGGGGUAAUGGCCCACCAAGACGAUGAUCGGUAUCCGGCCUGAGAGGGCGCACGGACACACUGGAACUGAAACACGGUCCAGACUCCUACGGGAGGCAGCAGUGGGGAAUUUUGCGCAAUGGGGGAAACCCUGACGCAGCAACGCCGCGUGGAGGAUGAAGUCCUUCGGGACGUAAACUCCUUUCGAUCGGGACGAUUAUGACGGUACCGGAAGAAGAAGCCCCGGCUAACUUCGUGCCAGCAGCCGCGGUAAUACGAGGGGGGCGAGCGUUGUUCGGAAUUAUUGGGCGUAAAGGGUGCGUAGGCGGUUUGGUAAGUCUUGUGUGAAAUCUACAGGCUCAACUUGUAGUCUGCACGAGAAACUGCCGGGCUUGAGUAUGGGAGAGGUGAGUGGAAUUCCUGGUGUAGCGGUGAAAUGCGUAGAUAUCAGGAGGAACACCUGUGGCGAAAGCGGCUCACUGGACCAUAACUGACGCUGAUGCACGAAAGCUAGGGGAGCAAACAGGAUUAGAUACCCUAGUAGUCC
rnacentral:rRNA from 1 species